rnacentral:lncRNA from 1 species
GGAGGUGGCAGGGUCAUGGGGCAGACUGUCCUCAGUGGGUUAGUGCCCUUCUGGAAGGAGCUGUCUAUGAACCCGGAGCCCCGCCAGGGCCAGACCCGUGGGCACCUGGCCUUGGGCGUCUUACCCAGAACCCUGAGGCAUAGACCCUGCUAUUUAUAGGCUCCCCGUCUGCGGUGUUUUGCUCUUAGCAGCCCAAACAACCAAGAUAGCACCCGGUGGAAUAUGAUUCAGCCUUAAAAAAAGAAGAGCCUGUGGGCCGGGCUGUGGCUCGGUGGAGGGGCACCUGCCGGGCCGGCGUGGGCUGAGUUCCAUCCCGGCACCACCAAGAGGCGUUUUGUAAGUCCUCCGGCCUGGAGCUGUGGCCGAUAGAGUCCCCAUGGGCUUUACAAAUGAUAAAAC